rnacentral:lncRNA from 1 species
AAGCUGGAGACAUUUGUGCAUCAAUAUUACCAUAAAUCCACAUAUUUGGUAGUAUACAAUCAUGCGAUCCAUUUAGUGCCAAGCCAGGAAGAAUGGGAGAAAAUAGAAUAUGCUGACAUUUAUCCCUCUAUAGUGAGGAAAUCAGCAGGCAGAUCCAAAAAAAAGAGGAUUAGAAGUGCUGAUGAAGGAAAAAAUCCCUUCAGGGUACCAAGGGUUAGUAAACCAGUACUUUAUGGUAAUUGUGGCCAAGAAGGCCACAAUGUGAGAGAUUGUAAAGCAGCUGUUAUUGGUGA